UACGAAGGGUGCAAACGUUGCUCGGAAUCAUUGGGCGUAAAGCGCACGUAGGCGGCCUCGCAAGUCGGACGUGAAAUCCCUCAGCUCAACUGAGGACGUGCAUCCGAAACUGCAAGGCUUGAGUACUGAAGAGGAUCGCGGAAUUCCCGGUGUAGAGGUGAAAUUCGUAGAUAUCGGGAGGAACACCAGUGGCGAAGGCGGCGAUCUGGGCAGAUACUGACGCUGAGGUGCGAAAGCGUGGGGAGCAAACAGG
rnacentral:rRNA from 1 species